rnacentral:lncRNA from 1 species
AUAUGUCACUCUUGCCUUUUCUCCCUCAGAUCACUGCUCUGAAGGAAGGCAGCUGCCAUGUCAUGAGGACUGUCAUGUAGAGGUGUUGACAAAUUGAAGUUUUCAGCUGACAGCAAAACUACAGUAGGCUGCCUACUCUAUGAGCAUGUUUGGAAAUAAAUCUUUCAAGGCUUCCUCUGACUACGGUCCUGACCCACAGCUGGACUGCAAUUGCAUGGGAGACCCUGAGCCAGUACCAAGCAGAAAAAGUGCUCUCAGAUUCCUAAAACACAGAAACUCAAACCCAGGUAAAUUCCCCAGAUUUUUGCUGAUGUGGAUUAGAGAAUUGUGCCCGUUCUUUUUUUGUGUAAGUCAUAUCCUUUAAGUCUUGAGUUUGU